AGAGUUUGAUCCUGGCUCAGGAUAAACGCCGGCGGCGCACAUAAGACAUGCAAGUCGAACGGACCGAGCAGUUUGUUUACAAGUUGUAAGGUUAGUGGCGGACGGGUGAGUAACGCGUGGGCAACCUACCUUUUUGAGGGGAAUAACACAGAGAAAUCUGUGCUAAUACCGCAUAACAUUAGGAUAUCGCAUGGUAACCUAAUCAAAGGAGAAAUCCGCAGAAAGAUGGGCCCGCGUCUGAUUAGCUAGUUGGUGGGGUAACGGCUUACCAAGGCGAGGAUCAGUAGCCGGACUGAGAGGUUGAACGGCCACAUUGGGACUGAGAUACGGCCCAGACUCCUACGGGAGGCAGCAGUCGGGAAUAUUGCACAAUGGGGGAAACCCUGAUGCAGUGACGCCGCGUAUAGGAAGAAGGUUUUCGGAUUGUAAACUAUUGUCUACAGGGAAGAACAAUGACGGUACCUGUGGAGGAAGCCCCGGCUAACUACGUGCCAGCAGCCGCGGUAAUACGUAGGGGGCGAGCGUUAUCCGGAUUUAUUGGGUGUAAAGGGUGCGUAGACGGAACGUUAAGUUGGUUGUGAAAUCCCCGGGCUCAACUUGGGAACUGCAACCAAAACUGGCGAUCUAGAGUAUAGGAGAGGAAAGUGGAAUUCCUAGUGUAGCGGUGAAAUGCGUAGAGAUUAGGAGGAACACCAGUGGCGAAGGCGACUUUCUGGACUAAAACUGACGUUGAGGCACGAAAGUGUGGGGAGCAAACAGGAUUAGAUACCCUGGUAGUCCACACCGUAAACGAUGGAUACUAGGUGUAGGGGAUACCAAUCCUCUGUGCCGACGCAAACGCAUUAAGUAUCCCACCUGGGGAGUACGACCGCAAGGUUGAAACUCAAAGGAAUUGACGGGGGCCCGCACAAGCAGUGGAGUAUGUGGUUUAAUUCGAAGCAACGCGAAGAACCUUACCAAGGCUUGACAUAUAACUGAAUUAUUAAGAGAUUAAUAAGUCCUUCGGGACAGUUAUACAGGUGGUGCAUGGUUGUCGUCAGCUCGUGUCGUGAGAUGUUGGGUUAAGUCCCGCAACGAGCGCAACCCCUGUUGCUAGUUGCCAUCAUUAAGUUGGGAACUCUAGCGAGACUGCCGGUGACAAAUCGGAGGAAGGUGGGGACGACGUCAAAUCAUCAUGCCCUAUAUGUCUUGGGCUACACACGUACUACAAUGGCCGUUACAAAGAGAAGCAACAUAGCAAUGUAGAGCAAAACUCAAAAAGCGGUCACAGUUCGGAUUGUAGGCUGAAACUCGCCUACAUGAAGCUGGAAUUGCUAGUAAUUGCAGGUCAGCAUACUGCAGUGAAUACGUUCCCGGGCCUUGUACACACCGCCCGUCACACCAUGAGAGUUGGGGACACCCGAAGCCUGUGAGCUAACUAAACAGAGGCAGCAGUCGAAGGUGGAAUCAAUGAUUGGGGUGAAGUCGUAACAAGGUAAC
rnacentral:rRNA from 1 species